UACGGGGGGAGCAAGCGUUGUUCGGAUUUACUGGGCGUAAAGGGCGCGUAGGCGGUCAGCACAAGUCAGUUGUGAAAUCUCCGGGCUUAACUCGGAAAGGUCAACUGAUACUGUGCGACUAGAGUGCGGAAGGGGCAACUGGAAUUCUCGGUGUAGCGGUGAAAUGCGUAGAUAUCUGGAGGAACACCGGUGGCGAAGGCGGCAUCCUGGACCAACACUGACGCUGAGGAGCGAAAGCCAGGGGAGCAAACGGG
rnacentral:rRNA from 1 species